AAAAUGUGUGGUGGUUGACGGAGGCAGCUAGCUGUCUCAUCAGCUGGAGAGCUAAUACCUGCAGGGUGUUUCUACUCAGAUAGCACUGGUUUUGUUGCAAUAGAUGCCGGUUGUUUCUUGAUGUUAGUGGGAGAGAGGUAAGGCACUUUGGAGCGCGCGAAAACGCCACAUCCAUUGGAUUUUCGUGGAAAAUCUGGCCCAGGUCCUUCACAUUGAAAUCAGUCCACAGGCUGACCUUCAGACCUUUUCAUCACUGCAGAGGAGUGCCGAAAUCGCUACCUUUUCCCCAGAGAGAAAUCAAAGAUGGUGGAUGGAGUCGAGAUCUCUGUGCAUAUCAUUGGAGACGCUGCCCGCCCAUUGAAGCAACGGUUGAUGAAAGGAUUCCCCCAGCAUCAACUUUCGCAAGAACAAACCCACUUCACCCACGCCCUAAGCUCAGCCAGGGUGGCCAUUGAGAAUUCCUUUGGGCGACUGAAAGGACGUUGGAGAUGCUUAAUGAAGAGGAAUGGCACUGACCUUAAUCUAAUGCCCAAUUUUGUCACUGCCUGUUGCAUUUUGCAUAAUGUACAUGAAAUACAGAAAGAUAGCUUUUUGCCAGAGUGGAACAUUGAGGUGGAUCAACCAGAGGGUCUGGGUCAACCACAUGCUGUGGUGUAUAAGGAAGAGAGACCUAACACUGCCCAGCUCUGUGCAACACUAUCAUAGACAAUCUAACAGCAGUGUUAUCAGAGUGAACAGUGUCGAUGCUGUAUCAGGAUGCCUUUUGAGUCAUAAUUAUUAGUUAUGCUGUGUUUCUGUAGCAAAUGUGAUCAACUUUGUCUUGUGUUUUGUAAAGCAUUUAUUUAUAGAAAAAGGCAAAUACCUAUAAAAUACCUAUCAAAUAAGUUUUCCCUUAUAACAAAGGUCUCAGCCAGUAUUCAAGUGUCCAAAUAUAGAACAAUUAUAAAACAACAGAAGAGUGACGAAGUAUUCCAGUGCUCAAGAUAUACAACAAAAAACUGAAGUACUGAAAUAUAUGAAAUGUAUAUAAAAUACAAAAUAUGAAUUAUCAGUUCAACACAAAGUAGAACAGUGUGCAAGUAGAAAAAAUGUAAUACUAAAGUACUAUUCAAGUAUUAUAUUGCAACACAAACUGACAUUUGACACAAAUCCUGUCAGUGUGAAAAGACUUUUAUACAGUUAUACUAUAACUGCCUGUAGGUAGUGUGCUCAUCAUGUUUCGUUUGAGUGCUUGAAUAAGCUGAUUGAGACUGAUAAAGUUUUGUUCAUACUGG